rnacentral:rRNA from 1 species
UACGGCGGGUGCGAGCGUUGUCCGGAAUCACUGGGCGUAAAGGGCGCGUAGGCGGCGCGGGUAGUCAUCGGUGAAAGUUCAGGGCUCAACUCUGAAUCGGCCGGUGAUACUCCCGUGCUCGAGCACUGUAGAGGCAGGUGGAAUUCCGGGUGUAGCGGUGGAAUGCGUAGAGAUCCGGAAGAACACCGGUGGCGAAGGCGGCCUGCUGGGCAGUAGCUGACGCUGAUGCGCGACAGCGUGGGGAGCAAACAGG